rnacentral:rRNA from 1 species
AUUGAGCGCUGGCGGCAUGCCUAGCACAUGCAAGUCGAGCGGAUGAAGGGAGCUUGCUCCUGGAUUCAGCGGCGGACGGGUGAGUAAUGCCUAGGAAUCUGCCUGGUAGUUGGGGAUAACGUCCGUUAACGGGCCCUAAUACCGCAUACGUCCUGAGUGUGAAAGUGGGGGAUCUUCAGACCUCACGCUAUCAGAUGAGCCUAGGUCGGAUUAGCUAGUUGGUGGGGUAAAGGCCUACCAAGGCGACGAUCCGUAACUGGUCUGAGAGGAUGAUCAGUCACACUGGAACUGAGACACGGUCCAGACUCCUACGGGAGGCAGCAGUGGGGAAUAUUGGACAAUGGGCGAAAGCCUGAUCCAGCCAUGCCGCGUGUGUGAAGAAGGUCUUCGGAUUGUAAAGCACUUUAAGUUGGGAGGAAGGGCAGUAAGUUAAUACCUUGCUGUUUUGACGUUACCAACAGAAUAAGCACCGGCUAACUUCGUG